UGUUUCUCUUGGGAAGCACAUCUCCAGGUUCAGUUCAGAAGAUAAACCCUCCACAUGCAUCUAGGAUGUUCCUCAGGGGCUGGGGGGCUCUGUGAUGGAGCCCAAAGCUCCCAGUUCCAGCUUACUCUGAAUCCUCCGCAUCUACCUGAGACCCGGUCCGUCUCUGAGCCAGGGUCAUGCACCAGGGCCCACAUGGAGGAGCAGUGAGCCUGAACUGAGUUAUCCCUCCCUCACUGAGACUGUUCUGAGUACUCCCUGUGUACAGAGGCAUCGCCCCAACCUAUGUGUUUCUGGUUUCUCUCUGUUCUUAUGUCAUAGGGCAUCCGAGGCAAGAAACGGGAUUCCAAAUAAGGACUCAUAACUGCUCUACUGGAGGUUAAUUACACUUUGGAAAAAUUACAAGUCAGACAAAAUAAUUAGAGCCUAACACUGCUGCCCUGCAAGAGUCUGCUUCCCAAGACAGAAGUGUCAGAGUUCUCAGGGCAACAACUCCAUGGGGACCAGAAGACAACAACAGAUUUAUGUCUCCUAAGACUUGAAUGAUACCUACUUCAGAGUGCUCUUCAGUAUGUAAAUGCUUUGUUGCUGCUGCUGUUCUGUCCUCAGCCUCCAGGAGAUAGUCUCACUGAAGAUAGGGACUUCACCUUAUUAUUCACCAGUCGACCCCCACCACCUAGAAAAGUGCGUGGCACAGAACAGGCACUUGACAGGAUAUAAAUAAACUGCUGUACUUUUCCCAGCAAGGAUUUCCAGAUCUCAGUUCUCCCUGUUCUCCACAAAUUAUGAAACCUGUGCUUUUAUGGUAAGUUGUCUUAAAUGCUUUUUGGAAACAGUCAUUGUUAUCGAUGAAAUGCAAUUAAAGACAGACCACUUCAUCGGGCUCAGCCUUUCCAAUUUGCACUGAUUCCUCUAACCUCCUGCUUCUCAUUAGGUCUGUCCUGACUGAUUUGUCAUUCAACUGCUGUGAUCCAGCGCACAGCAGCUUUUAGGUUAGUGAAAGUUCAUGCCAUCAGUUCCAGUCUAAAAAUCUGUCUACUUGGACAAAUUUCCUGCCUUGGAGUUGACAUGUCUUAACCCUCUGCCAGAGCAAGCAAGCUCUGUGUCCCACUGACC